AUAUGAAUCACCCUGGGAUGUUGUUAAAAUGUAGAUUCUGCUUUAGUAGGUCUGAGGUGGGUCUUAAGAUUCUGCAUUUCUAAGGAGUUCCCAGGUGAUGCUGAU
rnacentral:pre_miRNA from 1 species